rnacentral:rRNA from 1 species
UACGGAGGAUGCAAGCGUUAUCCGGAAUGAUUGGGCGUAAAGCGUCCGCAGGUGGCUAUGUAAGUCUGCUGUUAAAGAGUGAGGCUCAACCUCAUAAAAGCAGUGGAAACUACAUGGCUAGAGUGCGUUCGGGGCAGAGGGAAUUCCUGGUGUAGCGGUGAAAUGCGUAGAUAUCAAGAGGAACACCUGCGGCGAAGGCGGCGCUCUGGGCUGGAACUGACGCUGAGGAGCGAAAGCGUGGGGAGCGAACAGG